CCUACGGGAGGCAGCAGUGAGGAAUAUUGGUCAAUGGCCGGAAGGCUGAACCAGCCAAGCCGCGUGAAGGACGAAGGUGCCAAGCAUUGUAAACUUCUUUUGUCAAGGGACAAAAUCAGGCUCGAGAGCCUGACCGAGGGUACUUGAAGAAAAAGCAUCGGCUAACUCCGUGCCAGCCGCCGCGGUAAGACGGAGGAUGCGAGCGUUAUCCGGAUUUAUUGGGUUUAAAGGGUGCGUAGGCGGACUGUUAAGUCAGCGGUAAAAGCCCGGGGCUCAACCCCGGCGAGCCUUUGAGACUGGCUGUCUUGAGAUGUCGAGAGGUAUGCGGAAUGCGCAGUGUAGCGGUGAAAUGCUUAGAUAUUGCGCAGAACUCCGAUUGCGAAGGCAGCAUACCGGCGGCGAUCUGACGCUGAGGCACGAAAGCGUGGGUAUCGAACAGGAUUAGAUACCCGGGUAGUC
rnacentral:rRNA from 1 species